GCGUUUGCGCGCGCGCGCCGCGAUCCCUAUAUCGAUCGUGCCGGGUUCUACCCGGCUAUGGCGAUAAACGGUGGCGCAUUAUAGGCGCAGCGGACCCGGGGGCAGUACCCGGCGGCUCCACCAUUUGCGCUGAGGCGCUCGGCGCCACGCUUCCCGCGUGGUGUCGUAGGCUCAGCGCAGCUGAUGGGGCCGAACCAGGAUCGACGUGUGUUGAACGGCGCUGUCUUUCGCUCGGAAUGGGACCACCGCAACGGCCCAUCACACAAGUGCCAACGAUAACGAAGCACUCGCGAUUGCGGCGUAACUGAGGGCCUCACGGCCUAAGGUUACUCCAAAAUAGCGCGGUCGGACCCCACCGGGCAACAGAAGGGGAUUCCAGCGGUACGGGGAGCACCGGGCAACAGAAGCUCCCCACC
rnacentral:tmRNA from 1 species